CCCUUAGGAGAUUAAAAGGGAAAUGGGUGUGAUUCCCAUACAGUUCCCGCUGCUGUGAGUUCUAACAAGGCUCUACGACAUCAUAUUGUCACUGAGGGUGUUACCCUUGGGAAGGCAUCGUAGAGAAGAACAAGUCAGAAGACCUGCCAAGCGUUUA
rnacentral:ncRNA from 1 species